rnacentral:rRNA from 1 species
AGAGUUUGAUCCUGGCUCAGGACGAACGCUGGCGGCGUGCCUAAUACAUGCAAGUAGAACGCUGAAGACUUUAGCUUGCUAAAGUUGGAAGAGUUGCGAACGGGUGAGUAACGCGUAGGUAACCUGCCUACUAGCGGGGGAUAACUAUUGGAAACGAUAGCUAAUACCGCAUAACAGCAUUUAACACAUGUUAGAUGCUUGAAAGGAGCAAUUGCUUCACUAGUAGAUGGACCUGCGUUGUAUUAGCUAGUUGGUGAGGUAACGGCUCACCAAGGCGACGAUACAUAGCCGACCUGAGAGGGUGAUCGGCCACACUGGGACUGAGACACGGCCCAGACUCCUACGGGAGGCAGCAGUAGGGAAUCUUCGGCAAUGGGGGCAACCCUGACCGAGCAACGCCGCGUGAGUGAAGAAGGUUUUCGGAUCGUAAAGCUCUGUUGUAAGAGAAGAACGUGUGUGAGAGUGGAAAGUUCACACAGUGACGGUAACUUACCAGAAAGGGACGGCUAACUACGUGCCAGCAGCCGCGGUAAUACGUAGGUCCCGAGCGUUGUCCGGAUUUAUUGGGCGUAAAGCGAGCGCAGGCGGUUUAAUAAGUCUGAAGUUAAAGGCAGUGGCUUAACCAUUGUUCGCUUUGGAAACUGUUAGACUUGAGUGCAGAAGGGGAGAGUGGAAUUCCAUGUGUAGCGGUGAAAUGCGUAGAUAUAUGGAGGAACACCGGUGGCGAAAGCGGCUCUCUGGUCUGUAACUGACGCUGAGGCUCGAAAGCGUGGGGAGCAAACAGGAUUAGAUACCCUGGUAGUCCACGCCGUAAACGAUGAGUGCUAGGUGUUAGGCCCUUUCCGGGGCUUGGUGCCGCAGCUAACGCAUUAAGCACUCCGCCUGGGGAGUACGACCGCAAGGUUGAAACUCAAAGGAAUUGACGG